GGGGAAAAGAAUGAAAAAAAAAAAAGGACAAAAAUAGGAAAAAAGUUGGGCCAGCCGGCGGACGAAAAUAUCGUGCCACGUGUUACCCUGAAAAAUUAAUCGUUUCAGGAGUCCCCGGAGAGAGGCUGCGGCUUCCGCUCUUAUUGCCACCUCGUUCCACGAUAGUCGCAGCCAGUCCUCGAGGACGAGUUAAAUUCUCGGUGAACGCAUCGGCCUGCAUGAAAAUUAAUGACAGGGGCGUGACGAGGGAUGGUUCCAAGUAACCCUCCAACAGUGGCCAAGGUGAUGACGACGAUCCUCGCCUGUUUGCAACAAACACGCGAUAAUCCGCGAUGGCUCGUUAUCCGAGAGGCGAGUCGUAAGUCAUACGUGUGUUGGUGUCCCUUGACGAGGGUUGCUUACGUGUUACAAAACCAACCCCCGAAGAUCCGCUAAACGGCCGGAAACCGUGUCCAUUUUCGGUCUACCCUUCGCCAGUUUUAAAGGCUUUUUUUUUAACCGGAGACAGGAAGCGCAGUUUAUAUUAUACGAUGCGUUGAAUCCAAGUGCUGGAAAAGGCAAUUUUCUCCUCUUUUCGUGGAUUUCGAGAGGGUUGAAAGAAGAUUGCCGGUGCGGAUGGAGCGGAGUUAAAAAGAGUUGCACGUUUGCUUGGUAUUUGAGAUGGAUAGUUGGUGAAGUAAAUUUU